rnacentral:rRNA from 1 species
GACGAACGCUGGCGGCGUGCUUAACACAUCCUAGUCGAACGGAAAGGCCCUGCUUUUGUGGGGUGCUCGAGUGGCGAACGGGUGAGUAACACGUGAGUAACCUGCCCUUGACUUUGGGAUAACUUCAGGAAACUGGGGCUAAUACCGGAUAGGAGCUCCUGCUGCAUGGUGGGGGUUGGAAAGUUUCGGCGGUUGGGGAUGGACUCGCGGCUUAUCAGCUUGUUGGUGGGGUAGUGGCUUACCAAGGCUUUGACGGGUAGCCGGCCUGAGAGGGUGACCGGCCACAUUGGGACUGAGAUACGGCCCAGACUCCUACGGGAGGCAGCAGUGGGGAAUAUUGCACAAUGGGCGGAAGCCUGAUGCAGCAACGCCGCGUGCGGGAUGACGGUCUUCGGGUUGUAAACCGCUUUCGCCUGUGACGAAGCGUGAGUGACGGUAAUGGGUAAAGAAGCACCGGCUAACUACGUGCCAGCAGCCGCGGUGAUACGUAGGGUGCGAGCGUUGUCCGGAUUUAUUGGGCGUAAAGGGCUCGUAGGUGGUUGAUCGCGUCGGAAGUGUAAUCUUGGGGCUUAACCCUGAGCGUGCUUUCGAUACGGGUUGACUUGAGGAAGGUAGGGGAGAAUGGAAUUCCUGGUGGAGCGGUGGAAUGCGCAGAUAUCAGGAGGAACACCAGUGGCGAAGGCGGUUCUCUGGGCCUUUCCUGACGCUGAGGAGCGAAAGCGUGGGGAGCGAACAGGCUUAGAUACCCUGGUAGUCCACGCUGUAAACGGUGGGUACUAGGUGUGGGGUCCAUUCCACGGAUUCCGUGCCGUAGCUAACGCUUUAAGUACCCCGCCUGGGGAGUACGGCCGCAAGGCUAAAACUCAAAGGAAUUGACGGGGCCCCGCACAAGCGGCGGAGCAUGCGGAUUAAUUCGAUGCAACGCGUAGAACCUUACCUGGGUUUGACAUGGAUCGGGAGUGCUCAGAGAUGGGUGUGCCUCUUUUGGGGUCGGUUCACAGGUGGUGCAUGCCUGUCGUCAGCUCGUGUCGUGAGAUGUUGGGUUAAGUCCCGCAACGAGCGCAACCCUUGUUCACUGUUGCCAGCACGUUAUGGUGGGGACUCAGUGGAGACCGCCGGGGUCAACUCGGAGGAAGGUGGGGAUGACGUCAAGUCCUCAUGCCCCUUAUGUCCAGGGCUUCACGCAUGCUACAAUGGCUGGUACAGAGAGUGGCGAGCCUGUGAGGGUGAGCGAAUCUCGGAAAGCCGGUCUCAGUUCGGAUUGGGGUCUGCAACUCGACCUCAUGAAGUCGGAGUCGCUAGUAAUCGCAGAUCAGCAACGCUGCGGUGAAUAAGAUGCCCGGGGCU